rnacentral:rRNA from 1 species
GAUGAACGCUAGCGACAGGCCUAACACAUGCAAGUCGAGGGGCAGCACAUGCGUAGCAAUACAAUGGUGGCGACCGGCGCACGGGUGAGUAACACGUAUGCAACCUACCUGUAAGAGGGGAAUAACCCGUUGAAAGACGGACUAAUACCGCAUAAAACCACGAAUUCGCAUGAAUUAGUGUUUAAACAUUUAUGGCUUACAGAUGGGCAUGCGCAUGAUUAGCUAGUUGGUGAGGUAACGGCUCACCAAGGCAACGAUCAUUAGGGGUUCUGAGAGGAAGGUCCCCCACACUGGUACUGAGACACGGACCAGACUCCUACGGGAGGCAG